GUUUUUGAAGUUUUCUUGGUGAAAAGAAUGAUAAAAAAUAUUGAGUGUUGAUUUUGACUUCGAUACUAUUUUGAUAGUGGAUAUUCGAGAUUCUUUGUCUUUUAAGUUUUACUUUGAAGAUCAUCUCAAUUUGGUUCUGAAAAAGUUUAGUUAUAAAAUGGGCAUGAUGCUACCAGUUGGAUUUUCGUUGAUUUGGUUGCUGUUUAUUUGUCCAAUUUUGUAGCAUUUUGUUUCUUCCUCUCAUGUGGACUGUUACUAUGGCCUAUCUGCCAAAUGGUGUCUUAAUGUUUUGGUAUUUUAAUUUUAGUUAUCUAUCAAAAUUUAUGACUCAUUAGCCAUUCUUCUUUGUUUCCCUAGAAAGAAAAUACAACACAUUUGUUAAUAUGGUUUAUCUUUAGUUAAUUUGUUAAGGAGCAAUAGUAGUAUCUUUUAUGUUAAAUUCAUAAAUCCCUCCCUACAACUCAUGAAUUAAGAUUUCUCACAGCAACAAGGUCUACUCGACACGAAUUCCUGAGAGGUGAUCUAUGUAGAGAAAAGGAAACUGGUUGCUGGUCCAUCAACAAUGAAGUUUGAGUUUGACUCGCAACAUAGAAUACGUAUCUCCCUUAAUGCUCAAUCCAAGUCCUAUUUUACUGUGAUUUCUAGGGUUUAUUUGUUCAUUUAUAUAUGUAAAAUCGAUCUUCCGUGUAAUUCCAGAAUUCGUGAUGAAAGAAUAUUAUGUAGUACAAUCUUUUGAACAAUUCUUCCGUACGACAAGCUUUAGCUUUUUGAUUUUUAGCAGAAGAUAAGUUUAUGUGCUGCUAAUAUUUAGUAGAAAAUUGUAUAGUAUACAAUAUUUUUUCAAAUUUAUAAUGGAUAAGUUUAUAUUUUCAAUUAAAUAUUUUAGCUUGCAAACAGAAAAAUAAUUAAGAAAGAGAAGGUCAAUUUUCAUGUUUUUUAAUUGUAAUUUACCUGUUAUUCUGGUAGAUACAAAAAUUAAGAUUUUUUUAAAUAAAUUAAAAGCAGCUAGGAUCGACGAAGCUUCCUUUAUGUUCUAUUUUUAAUUCUAUUGAUGUUUACUGUUAUUUUAUCAUUUCUCUCUGAUUUCAAAAGUGCUUCAUUUUUUUUCCUUGUCAAGCUACCUGGGAGAAAUUUAAGUAUUUGCUUUUUGUUCCUUAUGAUGUAGUCUUGGUCCUUAGCUGUGUGGCUGACAACUAUUCAUAGUGUAUCUUACUGUGAGAAAUUCAAGAAGAAAUUUAAGCAGGAAAAUCCUAAUGCGAAGAUUGUGCUAGCUGUUACUUUCAUAAUCAUGUUUCUCCCCUCCAGGUCCUCCCAGGGCCAUGUGUCUGCAGUUUCCCACGGGAAAGGAAGGCCAAAAGAAAAGAUCAAAUUAUCAUCCAGUAUAAACAAUUGAUGGCCUAUGAAAUUUUUUGUUGAUGACUUCAUGUUCCUUGGAGACUUUACUCCUUACUGUGAGGUAUUUCAAGAAGUUGAAAAAGGAAGUCAAGAAAGACCAAGAGCUGGAAUGAAGGAUCAAAUGAAGAUCCAUGAGCGCAUAGUAAUUUUCUACUUAAAGGUACCUUUUAGUUGUCUUAUACUAUCUUACCUCACUACUUGCGAUAAUCUUCUUACUGUUGGAUUAAUAUUGUGAAAGAAUAUCCUCAUAACUUGCAAUAAUCUUCUUAUUGUUGGAUAUUUUAAAUCAUCCCUGAAUAUUGUGAAA